rnacentral:tRNA from 1 species
CCCCUGGUGGUCCAGUGGCUAAGACUCUGCACUCCCAACGCAGGGGACCUGGGUUUGAUCCCUGGUCAGAGAG